UGUUGCCAUGGCGAACCUCAGCUGAGAAUCCGCCCAGCAGGAUGAUGGGAAGCCAGAUGGGGUUUGACAGAAAGGAACAGCGCUGCUUCUCUCCCUUCCUGCCCCGCAGCGCGCCGGUGCCGAGGGGACCCAGGCAGACUCUUGGGAACGGGGACCUCGGGUUUAUGGCGUAACAUCCGAAUCCGACAGGGUCGAGCGUACCCCCACCGAAACCCGCAAUCCGCCAGCAGGGGGCUCCAACCAGCGUCUGCCUGUUCUUCAGUAUAGCAUUGUGGGGGCCUGGAGCCUAUCCCAGGUACCACAAGGACCAGGGCAGUGGACACAGCACCUUGGGGGGUGACCUAGGAAGGCUCACGACCAGAUCCACAACGGGGGCCUCUCAUAGCGAGCCACGGAAUAAAACUACCGGCGGCAUCUGAACCUCCACCCGUGACACUCCAGGGCAAUGCCGCAGAAACUUCCGGAUAAUGAUCCAGCAUGAAGUCGGCAGCACACAAGCUCUAAAAGUGAUGAGGAUGGUCGACGUGCUGUAACCGAAAUCCACUUCCUGUGGAUUGAAUCCUCACCAUCUCACACAUGAGUCAGUCUCCCGUUACGGCGAGAGCAUGUCUGGGGGACUUUAAAACGGGUUGGACAGGACGAGCGGGAGGACGAGCGCCAGGACGGCAGGGGAUGGGAGGGGCGUGUCCUGACGAAGCAGUGCUGAACCCAGCCCAGUUAAACGAGAGAGCUCCACCAAUCACGCUGUUCCAUUAGGGAUUUGCCUCUAAAGAGAAAACCUCACGUGUGUUUGUUUGGGGGCACCACAGGCCGAAGGAUCGAUGAAUUGCACUGGAAAAUUGUAGUAAAGGGACAAGGGGAAAUGGGUCCAACAAGCAUAUCCCAAUGAGAUUUGGAUCUUCAAGACACAACGGAACAUAACCAGUGUCCUUUUAAGGUGACUGGGAGGCAGGGUGUGUCACUGUCAUUGGCUGUGACACCACAACCUUCUUCCUGCUAU